ACCAGACUCCUACGGGAGGCAGCAGUGGGGGAUAUUGCACAAUGGGGGGAACCCUGAUGCAGCGACGCCGCGUGGGUGAAGAAGCGCCUCGGCGCGUAAAGCCCUGUCAGCAGGGAAGAAAAUGACGGUACCUGAAGAAGAAGCCCCGGCUAACUACGUGCCAGCAGCCGCGGUAAUACGUAGGGGGCAAGCGUUAUCCGGAUUUACUGGGUGUAAAGGGGGCGCAGACGGCGAUGCAAGCCAGGAGUGAAAGCCCGGGGCCCAACCCUGGGACUGCUCUUGGAACUGCGUGGCUGGAGUGCAGGAGGGGCAGGCGGAAUUCCUGGUGUAGCGGUGAAAUGCGUAGAUAUCAGGAGGAACACCGGUGGCGAAGGCGGCCUGCUGGACUGCAACUGACGUUGAGGCCCGAAAGCGUGGGGAGCAAACAGGAUUAGAUACCCCGGUA
rnacentral:rRNA from 1 species